rnacentral:tRNA from 1 species
CAGAGGGUAGUUUAUAAAAAUAUUAAUUUUGGGGAUUAAUGAAAGAAGUCUUUACUUUUUCCUCUGA